GAGACAAAUAUUAUUUUUUCAUCCAUGGAUGUAGAAACACUCUAAACUUACCUAACAAAAAAACAAAAACACUCUAAACCAUUUUCAAUAAAUUCAGAAGAAACACUCUAAACUUUCCCAUAAACCUAACAUUUCCCCACCGGAAGGAAGCAAAUCUACAAAACCAUUUCGCUUGAAUUAUGAGAGAGAAACGUUGAAGAGGAAGCUGUCAUGAUUAAACUCAAACAUUACUCUCACUUUCAUAGAGAGUUUGGUUCUCUCCGAUCUCAAAUCGCAAAUGAUAUUCUUGUCCAUGGUGAAAAGAAAGACUGAGAAGGAAUGUGUGCUAAAAUAGAGAACUAGAGGGUUUGGUUCUCCUAUCUCAAAUGAUGAAUCGGAGGAUUUUGAUAAUGGUUUCAGGAGAAGCAUGCAACACCUCUACUGGUACUUCUAAGCAAUUGAAUAAGACAUUGGGUGAAGGGUUGUUUCCUGGCGAGGUGACUCUGGGUCUGUGUGAAAUUACCCUUGCACAGAUAAUGUUGAUGCAGCCUUUGCAACCCUCUUCUCUUGUGUCUGAGAAAAGGCAAAUCUGAGCCUCCUGUUUUGUUGAAUUUUUGUUUGUUUCACACAUAUUCAAAUAAAAUGUUGGAAGCAUAGCACUAUGGGACAAUCGCAUAUUUUCUUUGUGACAGAUAUCUGCACUACUUGGUUUCAUGUGAAGUGAUGUCCAAACACAAUUCAGUGAAUAAAGUUUAUUGUACUCUGCUAUUGUUUCAUUCUUGAAAUUUAUUUAGAUAUCCUUGUCCAUGGUGGAAAGAGAAAGACUGAAAAGAAUCAGUCGCUUAAUUCUGAGGAAUUUAUAAUACUGUGAGCUUUGGACAUCAAUCCGUUUUAUUAUUAUCUUUAAAUAGAGAACUAGAGGGUUUGGUACUCUCCUAUUUCAAACGAUGAGUAGGAAAGGUUUCGAUGUUAAAAUGGUUUCAUGAGAAGCAUGCUGCUCCUGUUCUAAUAUCUUCUAAGUCAUGCAGAUAUGCUUGUCCACGGCACUAAACAUCUGACAAAAAGGGCACUUAACUCUUGAUGAAACUUCAACAUUGCUAGUCUUGGGCAUUAAUUUGGUGUUUGGGAUUUAUACUAAGCAGAGAAAAGAACGGACGCCUGCCUCAGGAAGCCUUCCCAAAUGUAGUUUGUGAACAACUUUUGCAACUGUUUACCAAAAUUAAAACUGGCUUAUCUGCAUGAAAUCAAUUAGUUUAGAAGGAGCCAUUGUCCAAUCCACUAGAUUCUGAUCCUUUUUGAGUCAUUUGUAAUUUCGUACCAAGUGGCUGCAUGGGCUUAAGAUUUUCACUCAGAAGUCAUCCAAGCCCUGAUACUAAAAAAAGCCCAAAAUGCUUCAUUUCACUCUAUAUCUAGCAAAUGCCACAUGUAUUUCCGCCUAAGCAAGAGGGGAACAUUGAAGAAGAAGCAGUGGAUGGUUGAAGUCGAGCAUUACUGUCUCUUUCAUAGUGAGACGAUGAGUUUAAGUAAGUGACUCCUGUUCUAAAUGCUGCUAAGAUAUUUUUAACACGCUAAGUUUGUUAAUAUAAUAGGUUAAUGUCAUGAAAUUCUGUUUCAGCACUUGUUAAACCUCCCAGUGUCUUGCACAUUUCAUCUGGGAAAUGAUUUAUUCCGUUUAGAAGAUAAGAUAUUUUAUAUGAUAUAGAGGACACAAGGAAGCUGUGAUGUUGUUUUCAGCUUUAGAUCAGACAAGAGGUUGAAGAGCCUUACUUCUGGCAAGGUGUUUCAGUAUCUCUUUGAAAAUACCAUUGUUGUGGUUUAUUCUACAGAUACUGAUGAUGCAGCCAUGGCCAGGCUCUUCUCUUCUGCCUAUUGUUUGAGAAAAGGUGAAUCUGAGCCUUCCUCUGAAACCCUGCAAUUAGGGUUUUCACUCACUGGUCGCUAGUUUAAGUAUGAGGCUCCACACUCAGAGUUAAGGUUGUGUUAAGAGCUGUUUCCCCUCUGAGUUUCCAUCUAAGCCGAUGAUUCUUCGAUUCUUCUAAGUGAAAUUUUGCAAACAGCUCUCCACACACACACAUACUCUCUUUCUCUGUCUCAAUUAUUCAUUGAUCGUGAUCUUCUGCUUCCCAUUCUGGUUCUGUUUGUUCUUCCAUUUCUUCUUCUUCUUGGAUAACAAGGCAGUGAUGAUGUUUUUAGCAAUUUAAUCAGAAAUUGAGUGAAGAGUUGUUUCCUGGCAAGGUGACUCUGUCUGUGCGAAAUUACCCUGUGGUCCUUUGCACAGUUGCUGAUGACGCAGCCUUUGCAAUCCUCUUCUCUCAUCUGUCUGAAAAAAGGCGAAUCUGAGCCUACUUUAUUCAACCCUAACUCAAAAUGUUUUUGGGACUUGGUUUCCACUUUCCCUCUUCUAUUUUGUUGGACUUUUGUUUGUUAAACACCAUGUCAUAUUUAAUGAUGGAAGUAUUAGCAUUAGCAAGAGUGUCCGACAAAAAUCAUUUUCCAGUGCAAAUUCUAACAUUAUUUUUCAACAAUCAUAUGCCUAUGCUCUAUGCAUAUAUUUAAUGGGCAAUGAUUGUGAGAUUGCAGUUAUUGGUGCAUUGUUUUUUUUUUUUUUUAAUUCUUUUGCUCGUUUUGUUUUUUUUUUUUGUUUUUAAUGUGCAAAUUUGGAAUGAAGUCCUGAUAUUACUUACAGCGCGACUUUCUUUUGAUUUAUCAUGACCCUUUCAUAGUAGAAUGUCCCUUUUGAGCAUCGAGGCCUUCAAGUCUUAUUAAGCCAGGAUUAAAAAAUGGGUCAUGUAACAUGCUUCCUAGGUAUUGUUUUGCAGCGAAAACAAAUUUGCUAUGAAAUUAAUGUCCCUGUCAUUGCAGGAAUUGCCUCCCAUAUCAAGGUGAAGGUGUAACUAGACUUUUAUUCAAUGCCACCAAAUGUGUUGAUCUAAUAUGAAAUAUUUCUAUGUGGUGUUAGGCAAUCCCACUUAUUGGGUGGUAUUGAAUACAAGGUUUUAGUUUCACCAGCUUCAGCUUCAAAUGGGAGGCAGUUUCUACUUGAACAACAUCUUACAUAAGCAGUCAAUAUGCAUGGCUCAUCAAAUUAUAUAAUAGGCAGAAUACAACUGGCGGUCCUCUAAGUUGUUUAAUUGUAUCAGAUCAGUCCUUUUGGUUUUUUUGUCAUAAUCAUAAUAGUUUUAAAAACUUGAUAGAAAAUAAGAUGGGUAGGGUUCAUAUCAAAGUGUAAAUUUUUAAAGAUUUGUCAAGUGUGGAAAAAACCCAAUUCAAUUGGAAGGGACCGUAAGAAAAGAAAUAAAAAGAGAAGCAAUAUACCCAGAAACUCAGGAAUAAAAUAGAAGAAAAUGUUUUAGAACCCUAAUUUAUUUUAAUUGAGUUUUAUUUCUCAAUGAAAUGCUUAUUUGGACGUCUGCGUAAAGAUAAGUGUAGCAGAUAUUGUGUAUUUUUGUAAUUAAAUCUGUUAAAAGGGUAAGAAUGUAUGUAAAUUAUGACUUUUAGGACAUAUUUGGGACAAACAUAACUUAAAAGACUAAAGGAUUGUAUAAUGUAUUUUGUCUUAUAUAAUACUAACUUUUUUCAUGGUCAAACAAAUUUUUUCUUUCUUUAAUAAGAAGUGAAUUUUUAGUGCUCCUGGGUGAACUAGAAAAAUAAUUAUUUGCUCUCUCGGUUAAGAAAUUGGCUGAAGAAAUUGUUCGGAUUCUCAAGGGAAGAGAACUUUGCAUGGCACUGUAUCUUAUGAAUGGACAUGAUAACUUUGUUUUGCAACAUGGAAGAGUUAAUUGAAAUAACAAAAAUGAUGUAAGUGGCUCUGUCUUUCAACGUAGUCAAACAUGUUGUACUAAACUCGUAGAACCCUGCUAUUUGCAACAGUUUCUACUGCUGCACACGUGAAUGUAUCUAAAGUUUCACCAGA